UAGAUACCCUGGUAGUCCACGCCCUAAACGAUGAGAACUAGCCGUCUGGAGUCUUCGUGCUCUGGGUGGCGCAGCUAACGCGUGAAGUUCUCCGCCUGGGGAGUACGGCCGCAAGGUUAAAACUCAAAGGAAUUGACGGGGACCCGCACAAGCGGUGGAUGAUGUGGAUUAAUUCGAUGCAACGCGAAGAACCUUACCUACCUUGACAUGCCGGGAAUCCUGCCCAGAGGCGGGAGUGCCUUCGGGAACC
rnacentral:rRNA from 1 species